UACGUAGGUGGCAAGCGUUUGUCCGGAAUUAUUGGGCGUAAAGCGCGCGCAGGCGGCCUCUUAAGUCUGAUGUGAAAGCCCCCCGGCUCAACCGGGGAGGGCCAUUGGAAACUGGGAGGCUUGAGUAUAGGAGGGAAGAGUGGAAUUCCACGUGUAGCGGUGAAAUGCGUAGAGAUGUGGAGGAACACCAGUGGCGAAGGCGACUCUUUGGCCUAUAACUGACGCUGAGGCGCGAAAGCGUGGGGAGCAAACAGG
rnacentral:rRNA from 1 species